GGGGAAUAUUGCGCAAUGGGGGGAACCCUGACGCAGCCAUGCCGCGUGAAUGAAGAAGGCCUUAGGGUUGUAAAGUUCUUUCGGUAUUGAGGAAGGUUGAUGUGUUAAUAGCACAUCAAAUUGACGUUAAAUACAGAAGAAGCACCGGCUAACUCCGUGCCAGCAGCCGCGGUAAUACGGAGGGUGCGAGCGUUAAUCGGAAUAACUGGGCGUAAAGGGCACGCAGGCGGUUAUUUAAGUGAGGUGUGAAAGCCCCGGGCUUAACCUGGGAAUUGCAUUUCAGACUGGGUAACUAGAGUACUUUAGGGAGGGGUAGAAUUCCACGUGUAGCGGUGAAAUGCGUAGAGAUGUGGAGGAAUACCGAAGGCGAAGGCAGCCCCUUGGGAAUGUACUGACGCUCAUGUGCGAAAGCGUGGGGAGCAAACAGGAUUAGAUACCCUGGUAGUCCGCGCCCUAAACGAUGUCAAUUAGCUGUUGGGCAACUUGAUUGCUUAGUAGCGUAGCUAACGCGUGAAAUUGACCGCCUGGGGAGUACGGUCGCAAGAUUA
rnacentral:rRNA from 1 species